GAUGAACGCUGGCGGCGUGCCUAAUACAUGCAAGUCGAGCGAACAGAUGAGAAGCUUGCUUCUCUGACGUUAGCGGCGGACGGGUGAGUAACACGUGGAUAACCUACCUAUAAGACUGGGAUAACUUCGGGAAACCGGAGCUAAUACCGGAUAAUAUAUUGAACCGCAUGGUUCAAUAGUGAAAGACGGUUUUGCUGUCACUUAUAGAUGGAUCCGCGCCGCAUUAGCUAGUUGGUAAGGUAACGGCUUACCAAGGCAACGAUGCGUAGCCGACCUGAGAGGGUGAUCGGCCACACUGGAACUGAGACACGGUCCAGACUCCUACGGGAGGCAGCAGUAGGGAAUCUUCCGCAAUGGGCGAAAGCCUGACGGAGCAACGCCGCGUGAGUGAUGAAGGUCUUCGGAUCGUAAAACUCUGUUAUUAGGGAAGAACAAAUGUGUAAGUAACUAUGCACGUCUUGACGGUACCUAAUCAGAAAGCCACGGCUAACUACGUG
rnacentral:rRNA from 1 species